UACGUAGGGGGCAAGCGUUAUCCGGAAUUACUGGGUGUAAAGGGAGCGUAGACGGUAAUGUAAGUCUGGAGUGAAAGGCGGGGGCCCAACCCCCGGACUGCUCUGGAAACUAUGUUACUAGAGUGCAGGAGAGGUAAGCGGAAUUCCUAGUGUAGCGGUGAAAUGCGUAGAUAUUAGGAGGAACACCGGUGGCGAAGGCGGCUUGCUGGACGGUAACUGACGUUGAGGCUCGAAAGCGUGGGGAGCAAACAGG
rnacentral:rRNA from 1 species